rnacentral:rRNA from 1 species
UACGAAGGGGGCGAGCGUUGUUCGGAAUCACUGGGCGUAAAGGGCGCGUAGGCGGCCCUCCUUGUCGCGUGUGAAAGCCCCGGGCUCAACCUGGGAGCGGCGCGCGAGACGGGGGGGCUGGAGUUCGGGAGAGGAGCGUGGAAUUCCCAGUGUAGAGGUGAAAUUCGUAGAUAUUGGGAAGAACACCAGUGGCGAAGGCGGCUGACUGGUCCGGUUCUGACGCUGAGGCGCGAAAGCGUGGGGAGCAAACAGG